rnacentral:rRNA from 1 species
UAGGGAAUCUUCGGCAAUGGGGGCAACCCUGACCGAGCAACGCCGCGUGAGUGAAGAAGGUUUUCGGAUCGUAAAGCUCUGUUGUAAGAGAAGAACGUGUGUGAGAGUGGAAAGUUCACACAGUGACGGUAACUUACCAGAAAGGGACGGCUAACUACGUGCCAGCAGCCGCGGUAAUACGUAGGUCCCGAGCGUUGUCCGGAUUUAUUGGGCGUAAAGCGAGCGCAGGCGGUUUAAUAAGUCUGAAGUUAAAGGCAGUGGCUUAACCAUUGUUCGCUUUGGAAACUGUUAAACUUCAGUGCAGAAGGGGAGAGUGGAAUUCCAUGUGUAGCGGUGAAAUGCGUAGAUAUAUGGAGGAACACCGGUGGCGAAAGCGGCUCUCUGGUCUGUAACUGACGCUGAGGCUCGAAAGCGUGGGGAGCAAACAGG